CAGUCGCCGCGGUAAUACGUAGGGUCCGAGCGUUGUCCGGAAUUAUUGGGCGUAAAGGGCUCGUAGGCGGUUUGUUGCGUCGGGAGUGAAAACCCAGGGCUUAACUUUGGGCUUGCUUUCGAUACGGGCAGACUUGAGGCAUUGAGGGGAGAACGGAAUUCCUGGUGUAGCGGUGAAAUGCGCAGAUAUCAGGAGGAACACCGGUGGCGAAGGCGGUUCUCUGGCAAUGUUCUGACGCUGAGGAGCGAAAGUGUGGGGAGCGAACAGGAUUAGAUACCCCCGUAGUCCCUGUCUCUUAUAC
rnacentral:rRNA from 1 species